rnacentral:rRNA from 1 species
UACGUAGGGGGCGAGCGUUGUCCGGAUUUACUGGGCGUAAAGGGUGAGUAGGCGGUUAUAUAUGUCAGGUGUAAAAGGCUAUGGCUUAACUAUAGUAAGCACUUGAAACUGUAUGACUUGAGUGCAGGAGAGGUAAGUGGAAUUCCUAGUGUAGCGGUGAAAUGCGUAGAUAUUAGGAGGAACACCAGUGGCGAAGGCGACUUACUGGACUGUAACUGACGCUGAGUCACGAAAGCGUGGGUAGCAAACAGGAUUAGAUACCCUGGUAGUCCACGCUGUAAACGAUGAGUGCUAGGUGUUGGGUAGCGAUAUUCAGUGCCGAAGUAAACACAAUAAGCACUCCGCCUGGGGAGUACGGUCGCAAGACUAAA